CGUAUAUUAAAGUUGUUGCAGUUAAAAAGCUCGUAGUUGAAUUUCGGGCUCGGUAGGUUGGUCCGCCCUAUGGUAUGUACUGGCUUUACUGGUUCCUCCUUCUUGAAGAACUGUAAUGUCAUUAAUUUGGUGUUGCAGGGAAUCAGGACUGUUACUUUGAAAAAAUUAGAGUGUUUAAAGCAGGCAA
rnacentral:rRNA from 1 species